rnacentral:rRNA from 1 species
UACGGAGGGUGCGAGCGUUGUCCGGAAUCACUGGGCGUAAAGGGCGCGUAGGCGGCCUGAUAAGUAGGGGGUGAAAUCCUGCGGCUUAACCGCAGGGCUGCCUUCUAAACUGUCAGGCUAGAGCACGGUAGAGGCAGAUGGAAUCCCGGUGUAGCGGUGGAAUGCGUAGAGAUCGGGAAGAACAUCAGUGGCGAAGGCGGUCUGCUGGGCCGUUGCUGACGCUGAGGCGCGACAGCGUGGGGGAGCAAACAGG